GGUUCCCGGAAGUGCGGCCUACUGCUUCCGGUGCAGGCGUUGGCGCGGGUGCGAGGCGACCGGAGUUGCUGCCCGGCGGCCGGGGAAUGUUCGUGGGCUUCUAGGCUGCUCCCGCUCCCAGGAUGUCCGUUGUGCCGCCCAACCGCUCCCAGACCGGCUGGCCCCGAGGGGUCAACCAGUUCGGGAACAAGUACAUCCAGCAGAGCAAGCCCCUCACGCUCGAGCGGACCAUCAACCUGUAUCCACUCACAAAUUAUACCUUUGGGACCAAGGAACCUCUGUAUGAGAAGGACAGUUCAGUGGCUGCUCGGUUCCAGCGCAUGAGAGAGGAGUUUGAUAAGAUUGGGAUGAGGCGGACUGUCGAGGGCGUCCUCAUUGUGCACGAACACCGGUUGCCUCAUGUCUUGCUGUUGCAGUUGGGCACAACCUUCUUCAAACUGCCAGGUGGUGAGCUUAAUCCAGGAGAAGAUGAGGUGGAAGGGCUCAAACGUUUAAUGACAGAGAUCCUGGGUCGCCAAGAUGGGGUGCAACAGGACUGGGUCAUUGAUGACUGCAUUGGUAACUGGUGGCGACCAAACUUUGAGCCGCCACAGUAUCCAUAUAUUCCAGCUCAUAUUACGAAACCGAAAGAGCACAAGAAGCUCUUUUUGGUUCAGCUUCAAGAAAAGGCUUUGUUUGCAGUCCCCAAAAAUUACAAGCUGGUAGCUGCUCCGUUGUUUGAGCUCUAUGACAAUGCACCAGGGUAUGGACCCAUCAUUUCCAGCCUUCCCCAGCUUUUGAGCAGUUACCAAUCCACAAUUGAACCUGUCCCUAUUCCAUGAAUGUUAAGUUUACUCAAGAGCCUUUGGUGGGGAACUUUGUCAAAAGCUUUCUGGAAUAUGUCGACCGGAUCACCUUUACCCACAUGCCUGUUGACACUCUCAAAGAACUCCAAAAAAGUUCAAUUUUAUUUACAACUGAAUUUCUUUAUGCCUGAAAUGUGUGGUAGAAGCCGUCUCUGUGAGAACAGCUUUAAAAUGUAGAAGAAAGAAAACAUGAUGCAAAGAUUUUUUUUAUGUCACUCCCUUUUCUUCCCCCCUCCCCCAACUUUCUGCUGUCUGGAUAGGAAAGUGAAUCUUGACUGUUUAGAUAGUGGAAUGGUGAGUGUAACUGCGUUUUAAUCACCUAUGUUGUAAUAGUCACCUGAUUUUUUAAAAAUAACAUUAAACAAAACAGACUACA